ACAUCACAGCAGGAGUUGGUUCUAAAUUCUAAUUCUAGACACUUAAACACAGUCGCUGCUGAACCACUUACAUUAUUGUACAUUGGUUACCGAGCUACUAAAACUGCGCCACCUAAACUGAUUUGAACUUAUUUUGUUCUCAACAGAUUAGCGAUAAGAAGAAAAUGUAUCGGUCUGGAACACGUGAAUCUUCCUUUCCAGCCUUCCAGAGUCAUCAGGGCCUGAUGACCUUUAGGGACAUUUUGGACACCAUUCUUCAUCUGAGUAAUGAGGAAUGGACGACUUUGACUGAGGACAUGACGCAUCAGUACACAAAACUGAAGUUUGCAUCUAUCUGCACCGAAAUUGUGAUGUCUGUGUCGGAGUCUGUCAUUAGGAAGAUGAUGCCGGAUCUCAUUGAACGUUUCGGGAUUAAAUCGGUUCUCCGUGCAGAAGCUAAGCUGAAGGAAAAGGAUGAAUGUGAAUCAAGGAGCCGUUCUGCAACACCGAGCUGCUCAGGUCAAAGUUUACCAGAAGACUCCUCUGAUUUGAAAUGUAACUCAGUUGAAACAGGCAUCACUAAAAUGAAAGUUGCAGUGCAAGCGUUAAAGACCGUGGCUGAUGAGUUAAAGAAAUCCCUCAAAAACAUCUCUCCUGAAUCUGAUGUUAAGCCUGAAACUGACGAUUCAGUGCAGCUCCAAAACAAGGCUACACGGGAUGAGCGUGAUAUGCUGGUGAAAAAUAUUUCACAUCUUUUAUAUCAGACAAGUUUAGUCAGUGGUGCCGAGGAAAAAGAUGAUCAUGCAUGUCCAAGUGGUACCUUGAUCUCCUCCAAAAAGCCUUGCUCAGGUCUGCAGGAUGCAGCAACAGCAGUGCCUGAUGAUCAGGAGGAACCUUCCAAAUUGCAGGCUGAUGUUGACAGCUGCACUGAGAAGGUCAUGUGGCAGGUUGAAAAUUUAUAUUUGCAUGAGGAGAAGCUGGCCAAGUCCACCUUCUAUCAAAAGCCACGGUAUAAAGGAAAAAUGUACAUUGAUUCAAAUGCAGAAAUGGCAUCUGGGGAUAGCUUUUUCGGAAGCAGGUCAGAUGUACUCCUUGAUGAAGCCGCUGUGGCAGUUAGAAAUAUUCUAAUGGAAAAGGCAGUCCCAGAACAUGUGGAUAAACCAAUAGGCACGUUAUAUGAGUCUGGGCCUUUUAGAAGCCAAUUUGCAUUAAAACGUGCUGCUGUGGAUUCUGGCAGAUCAGUGGUUAUGAUUUUGGACCAGUUUUAUAAGUCGAUGCAAUCCAUAGCGGGAGAUGCGACAUAUAGCUCAGAUGCUCUUCUUGGCUUUGUAGGUGACGCUGUUGUUAUCGGAAAAGAAGGACCGUUGAAGAGUGCACGUACCACCUUAAAAACAGUGCGCAGUCAUCUCCUAGAAUUUCUUUCUAAAUUUAGUCCAGAAGAAAUUGACUGGGAGGAGGACGAGCAGGUUAUUGACCUGUGCACAGAAGAGGUUAUUAAUCAAGCCAUUUAUUUGUACAGGAAUGAACUGGCAGACCCGAUUUCGUUCACAGAUAUCGAUAUCCUGACAUCAGCCCCAUUUCAGACCAAGUUAUCCCAGCGUGUAAGUGAGAUCAUCUUACAGAAGCUGGAGUCCUGUCCUUCAUUGAUGCCAACAAAAGGUUUCUCAGAAGGUCAUCUCAAAGACAUCUCUUCUGAGAUUUCGAGAUCUGUUAGCAACACACUGCAGAAGUUUGCACGUGCUCAGCUAGCUUUGAGAAGGGGCUCAUCUUCCCAAACUCCACUGAGCUUCUUCUCUCCUUUGUUUCUGUUCAUUAAGGUGAAGAAUAAGCUGAAGAAAUCUUCCAGUCCUGAGAAACCAAAUUGCUCAGCAGAGUCAGAAAAAGAUGAACGUGUCGUUCCGAUUCAUAUCACAGACGAUGGCUCUGAUUUGGUACGUAACUCCUUUGAAACAGCCAUCAGUAAAAUUAAAGGUGCAAUGCAGGAGGCAAUCCGGAGGGUCGCAUCAGGGCAAAAGUCAAAGACCAUGGCUGAUGAGAUAAACAUCUUUCAUGAAUUUGAUGUUAAGCCUAAAACUGACGAUUCAGUGCAGCUCCAAAACAAGGCUACAUGGGAUGUGAGUGGUACACUGGACAAAAAUUUUUCACAUAUUUUAUCUCAGACAAGUUUGGACGCCAAUGUAGUGACGUCUUCUGAGGCCAAGGAUAUUAUUGAAAAAGUUGUCAAUGGUUUAGUCAAUGCUGCUGAGGAAAAAGAUGAUCAUGCAUGUCGAAGUGGCACCUUGAUCUCCUCCAAAAAGCCUUGCUCAGGUCUGCAGGAUCCAGCACCAGCAGUGCCUGAUGAUCAGGAGGAACCUUCCAAACUGCUAUCUGAUGUUGAUAGCUGCCCUGAGGAGGUCAUGUGGCUUGAAAAAUUAUAUUUGGAUGAGGAGCAGCAGGCCAAGUCCAGCUUCUAUCAAAAGCUACGGUAUAAAGGAAAAAAAUAUAGUGUUUCAAAUGCAGAAACGGCAUCUGAGGAUAGUACCUUUUUCACAAUCAGGUCUGACGUUUUCCUCGACGAAGCCGCUGUGACAGUUACAGACAUUCUAAUGGAAAAAGCAGUCUCAGAACAUGUGGAUAAACCAAUACGAAAUGGAGGAAAACGGAGAAAGAAUCUUUUAUAACAUGAUAGAAUUCAAAGGAAUGUUUCACACCGUAGUAGAUGAAUACAAAGUGCUAUGGCAGCCAACAGGACAAAUGGGCAUGUGCCUAAUACACGAAAAAUAUCUGUUUUACAGCCUACAGUAAUGCUGGAGGUCUUAAGGGCGGAUGGGGGAGUCAGAAUGGAACUUAUCGCCAGAGGCUGGUGUCCCAAGGGAAUCUUGAGGAUCUGGGGACCGCCAAGGGGUAUUACCCACUGCUGGCUCCAUGUUAAUUACUUAUGCUCAUUGCCCAAGGAUUCUUAAUGCUUCCAACCAGAAUUUAUGCACAGAUUAGGCCCCUUAAAUUCACAUGUUUUGUACAGGGACUAAGAAUGGUGGAAGUGUACCCUGAUUCCUAAAAUUUACAAUUGUCAAUGGCAUUUUCAAAUUCUAGCCAAAUUCGAGCUAGGCGUCCAAAUAUGGUGCAAUGAUUACCUCCCAUUCAUUCUACCUUUCCCAGCUUCUGUGGGGAUAGUAGAUAAUGAUACUUGGAACUGUAGGGCUGAGACUCCAGGAGAGGGUAUUGUAGGAGAUUUAGAUCUCAGGAUUAUGUAGCCUCAACCCUACCGUUAUUUCUUGCUUAAAUACAAGCUGAUGUAUUAUAUUGUGUGAUUAUGAUUAAACUGUGUUAUGAUUAAACUAUGUAAAGAACCUCAACCUUGACAGCCCGGGGGAAACACAACCACGUCAGGAGAAAAAAAGGGCCAAGAAAAAGAAAGGGCUCAAGCCGUUCCCCAGGUACCUAGCAACGAAGACGGACUGGAAAAUCUUCUGCUUCGGGGGUCGCUAAGAAAGCUGUUCCUGAUGUUCUGCUCCUCCAGCAAGACCUGCGAGAUUUACAACUCGAUACUCUGGAUGUGAAGAGAACUGAAAAGCUGAUAUUAAAACAUGAACGUUUAGAGAAAGAAUGUGAUAGCAUAUUAGGUGUUUUGAAUCAAAUGAGAGCUGAAGCUGAGAGAUUGAAGGAUUGUGCUAGAUACAGGAGAGCCGAAGGCAUUAGGCAACUAAAUCAGAGAUAUGGGCAAUUGUACACAGAAGAAAUAAAAAGAGCCUGCAUUAAAAAUAAUACAGAACCCAGACCAUCUACCUUUACUAAACACGUAAUGAAUUAGAAGUGGUGCCUAGAAAUAAAACUGAAACGGACCAAGUAAAAGCAUACAUCCUGUUUUCUGCAUACAGCUUCAAAGUUAGAGCUCUAUACCACAAUCUCCUGUCCAUUGUGUCUCUCUGUUAAGCCCAAAUAAGGGCAUGCAUCAUGUUUCUCUACAAGUAACUUCAAAGCCAGAACAUGUAACCCCAUUCUGUGACCUUAAAGAAGGCAUGGUGGUUUUGUGUGGUAGCCUGGACCCUAGCGCACAGGACCACACUCAAAAAAUGUAUAAAUAUCGAGGAAAGGCAAGUGUUUAGUUACCAUUUCCUCGGGUGAAGACAUACUCGUUUUCAUUUCUUCUAAAAAGAAAACCAUUUUCAGACUCUGCGUAGUCUACGGUUCUUUAUUUUCCUUUAUAUUCUGAGUUAAGAUAAUUGUAAUCGUUUUGUUCUUUAAUAAACCGAAGUCCAUACAAAGGACGAUUCGU
ensembl:lncRNA